GGGAUAUAUGUGCAAGUCUCUAGCCAAGAACUCUCUUCGCUGUUGUCUCAGCAUUGUACGAUUGAAAAUGAUGUUGCCUUUUCCGCUCACAGCCUCAAAUCAAACGUUUCCAAUCCAUUUGCCACAACAGGUACAUUGAUUGUUGUCUCAAUGGAUGCUGGCCAUUUAUGGAUUACCCUCUACUAAUCUGGUGCCUUAUACAUUUUCUUCAAACUAUAUAUGGAUGACAUGGUUUCGUUACUCUUUCAUCAUCUUCAACAAUUGAGAGAAAAGGAGAUGCAGUUUGUCAUUGGACAACACGUGGAUUUGUUCUGUAUGGUUAUGUAUAUAUAUCAGGUGACAUUUUCACUUGAAAAAUAUCAAAUUGGUAUUGAUACAACUCAAAAUGUCCCACUA